rnacentral:rRNA from 1 species
CCUACGGGAGGCAGCAGUGAGGAAUAUUGGUCAAUGGGCGGAAGCCUGAACCAGCCAAGUCGCGUGAGGGAAUAAGGCCCUACGGGUCGUAAACCUCUUUUGCCGGGGAGCAAGGGCGGGGACGUGUCCCGGCCCGGAGAGUACCCGGAGAAAAAGCAUCGGCUAACUCCGUGCCAGCAGCCGCGGUAAUACGGAGGAUGCGAUCGUUUUCCGGAUUUAUUGGGUUUAAAGGGUUCGUAGGCGGGCUUUUAAGUCAGCGGUAAAAAUUCGGGGCUCACCCCCGGCCGGCCGUUGAAACUGGGGGACUUGAGUGGGCGAGAGGGAGGCGGAAUGCGUGGUGUAGCGGUGAAAUGCGUAGAUAUCACGAAGAACCC